rnacentral:rRNA from 1 species
GACGAACGCUGGCGGCGUGCUUAACACAUGCAAGUGGUGCGACGAACCAGGCUUCGGCCUGGGGCGAAGCCGCGAACGGGUGAGUAACACGUGGGCAAUCUGCCCCUUUGAUCGGGACAACCCGGGGAAACCCGGGCCAAUACCGAAUGAGGUGGCGACGCAUGAGAGCCGUCACGAAAGGCAGCCUCGGCCUCCGCGGAGGGAUGAGCCCGCGGCCCAUUAGCUUGUUGGUGGGGUAAUGGCCUACCAAGGCAACGUUGAGUAGCUGGUCUGAGAGGACGAUCAGCCACACUGGGACUGAGACACGGCCCAGACUCCUACGGGAGGCUGCAGUGGGGAAUCUUGCGCAAUGAGCGACAGCUUGACGCAGCAACGCCGCGUGAGGGAAGAAGGCUUUCGGGUCGUAAACCUCUUUCAGUUAGGACGAAGCUUUAUUGGUUAAUAACCAAUUGGAGUGACGGUACUUUCAGAAGAAGCCCCGGCUAACUACGUGCCAGCCGCCGCCGUAA